CCUUUGGAGUGUCAAACAAACUUUAGUAGUAUUAGCAACAAUACAAAAAAGGACACUGUGAAUAAGGAA
rnacentral:ncRNA from 1 species